CAAUAGCGUAUAUUAAAGUUGUUGCGGUUAAAAAGCUCGUAGUUGGAUUUCUGCUGAGAACGACCGGUCCGCCCUUUGGGUGUGUAUCUGGCUCUUUCUUGGCAUCUUCUUGGUGAACGUUGCUGCACUUGACUGUGUGGAGCGCUACCCAGGACUUUUACUUUGAGGAAAUUAGAGUGUUUCAAGCAGGCAUACGCCUUGAAUACAUUAGCAUGGAAUAAUAAGAUAGGACCUCGGUUCUAUUUUGUUGGUUUCUAGAGCUGAGGUAAUGAUUAAUAGGGAUAGUUGGGGGCAUUCGUAUUUAACUGUCAGAGGUGAAAUUCUUGGACCGGCUAAAGACGGACAACUGCGAAAGCGUUUGCCCAGGAUGUUUUCAUUGA
rnacentral:rRNA from 1 species